rnacentral:rRNA from 1 species
AGGCUGCAACUCGCCUGCACGAAGUCGGAAUUGCUAGUAAUCGCGGAUCAGAAUGCCGCGGUGAAUACGUUCCCGGGCCUUGUACACACCGCCCGUCACACCAUGGGAGUCGGUAACACCCGAAGUCGGUGGUCUAACCGCAAGGAGGACGCCGCCGAAGGUGGGAUUGAUGACUGGGGUGAAGUCGUAACAAGGUAUC